UACAGAGGUCUCAAGCGUUGUUCGGAAUUACUGGGCGUAAAGGGCGCGUAGGCGCCUUCUAAGUCGAACGUGAAAUCCCUGGGCUCAACCCAGGAACUGCGUCCGAUACUGGAAGGCUUGAAUCCGGGAGAGGGAUGCGGAAUUCCAGGUGUAGCGGUGAAAUGCGUAGAUAUCUGGAGGAACACCGGUGGCGAAGGCGGCAUCCUGGACCGGUAUUGACGCUGAGGCGCGAAAGCUAGGGGAGCAACGGG
rnacentral:rRNA from 1 species